rnacentral:rRNA from 1 species
CCCACUUUAAUUUAAUGGAUAUCGUAUGCUUUAAACAUAUUUAAAUAUGGAUACUCAAGUAAUCGUCCAGUUUAAGAUUUUAAUUAAUGUAAGAAAUUACAAUUUAGGUAGUUUACUAAUUUAGGUUUAUUAGGUGCCAGCAACCGCGGUCAAACCUAAUAAGUUAGCUUACAAGCGCAUUAAAUAAUUUUUAUUUCCCUUAAAAAUAGUAUAAUAAGUAGUGAAAUACUAUUAUAGAUAAUAUUUUUAUUUAUGAUAAUAAAUAUAUAUUAAACUCAUUUUAUAAACUAGGAUUAGAGACCCUGCUAUUAUGAGCCCAAAAAUUUAUUUAUUAAGAAGUAAAAUUACAAAAUUUAAACUUAAAAAUUAUGGCGGCCUAACCAAACACUUAGGGGAACUUACCAUGUAAUUGAUAAUCACCAAACUUAUUACACUUACUUUAAUAAUUUGUAUACCGUUGUCUUCAUGAGCCCCUUAAAAGGGGCUCAUGAGUAUUAAAUUAAUACUAAGACAAAUCAAGGUGCAGUCUAUAAGUAAGAAUUUAAGGUGAGUUACAAUAAAAAUUUAUUUCGGAGUUUAUAGUGAAAUACAAUAUAAAGAUGGACUUAAAAGUAAUAAUUAAGUAUUAACAAAUAUGAAUAUGUC